CCACCCUUGGUUAUAGCCAUUUAAUAUGAACCCUUAGAUCUCCUCUAUGACUCUUGGAUGCACUUGGGUUCAAGCCAGAUUAGAUCCAAUUGAGCCUAAUUGAACCCAAUCUUCCAAUUAUCUGCAAAUUGAGUUAAAUAGCAUCAAUUCUAACCAAUACAAUUUAAUUAAUGAUAUCUUGAGUGUGGUUAAUGUAUCAAUUUAUGUA
rnacentral:lncRNA from 1 species